GCCGCCAUCGCAUAAUCCGGUAUUGCGCUCGGCUUGAGACCGGGUGUCCGCAAGGACUUCUGAGUUCAAAUCUCAGUGGCGGCG
rnacentral:tRNA from 1 species